GCCUUCGUGGUGUAACGGUAGCAUGCUGGGUCAGUAUUCCAGAGGUCCGUGGUUCGAUUCCCGGCGAAGGCG
rnacentral:tRNA from 1 species